rnacentral:lncRNA from 1 species
CUAGCAACGUGUUUCAUUCACGCGUUUACCCUACUACACCCCGCUAGCACUAUCCACUGUAGGUUUAACACAGAACUUAAAAUGCAGAGACACGAUUGUUAUGGGUCAAGACAACUCCGUGUACGCUGGAGGUUUAAUACAUAACUUCCAUUGCAGAAAAGUCAUUAUUAUAAUUCAAAAGGACUUCGCGUCCACUGGAGCAAAACCCUGAACGAAGACCUUGCUGACAACACUGGCCUCCAGACAGCUUUCAAAGCAUAUACCACAGUACUUGAAGAAGAAUGUGCAGGAGAAGACACUCAUCUAACAGGACUAGAAAAAUUCAGCGGAAUGCAGCUGUUCUUCAUUUCGCGUGCUAUGACUUUGUGCAAAACAGCAGACAAGUAUUCGCUCAUCAAAGAGAUAAGGAAGGUACAAUUCAGCUCUCCGCGAAACAGGGUGAACGUGCCCUUGAAAAAUUUGGACGAAUUUGGUAAGGAGUUCAACUGUUCACUUGGCUCCCCAAUGCACCCGUACAAAAAUGAAACCUGCUCUUUAUGGUGAAGGGGAAUUGGACAACAACAGCAUGAACAGCCUGAUGUUAAGAGCUCAAAACGUAGACGGGAUACGAGACAAG